GUCAUCCUCUAACAACCAUAGAGAUAGGUCUUCCCUUUCGGGGGCAGAGUGACAGGUGGUGCAUGGUCGUCGUCAGCUCGUGUUGUGAGAUGUUGGGUUAAGUCCCGCAACGAGCGCAACCCUUGAUCUUAGUUGCCAGCAUUCAGUUGGGCACUCUAAGGUGACUGCCGGUGACAAACCGGAGGAAGGUGGGGAUGACGUCAAAUCAUCAUGCCCCUUAUGACCUGGGCUACACACGUGCUACAAUGGGCAGAACAAAGGGCAGCGAAGCCGCGAGGCUAAGCCAAUCCCACAAAUCUGUUCUCAGUUCGGAUCGCAGUCUGCAACUCGACUGCGUGAAGCUGU
rnacentral:rRNA from 1 species